rnacentral:lncRNA from 1 species
GUAAAAAUUCCGGGAAUGACGUCAUAAAUAAAACUCAACGGAAACGAAUUGUCAACCGGUCACAUAAAACUGGAAUCCACUUGUAUUACGCUUCACUGAAACUGAUGAACAAAGUGUAGUAGUCCGCCGAGAACCAGCCUAUUAUCAUAACAAGAGGCUGUCACAACGACAGCAAACCGGAUUUAUUAAUAUUUAUUUGUGUCCUGGCAAUAUCACAAGAACCAUUACUGAUGAAUGGUGAAAGUGAAAAUCGUCAAUAUCAAAUUUGACCUCCAUUUUGUCAUCAGUAUCAACAUCUUAAAAUUUGAAAAGCUUAGAUUGAAUGGUUCAUGAGUAAAUGCAACAACGUGAAUGGAAACGCCAUUUCACAAUCUUUCAAGAACCAUAACUCCUGAACG